GCCUCACAAAUAGCUUGCACUUCUCUUAUCUUAGUCCAAUCCAUGGUGUCUCCUUCUUCUCCUUCACUCAUUGACCUAUCAUCCCCAGAGACUCCCUCAAACAACUCCUCAUCUGUAGGUGCUGUAAGUAUGUCCCGGAUCCUCUUUCUCUGCUGUUCAUCAACAGAUUACUGCUCCCGAGUAACUCUUUUUUCCCUUCUGGCACCCAUACUACUGUUUGUAACAUUACUCACAGGCUCUACUACAACAGUUAUGGGAUACACCACAUACUCAGGGAUGUGUCUUCAGUUCAUUUCUCAGUUGAACUCUUGAUGUUAUACAAACCCUGGUGGAUUUGGUAAUUGGACCUGAAAGGAGCAAGAGGCUGGAGCAACCUUUUGUGGAUCCAGCUGAGGUCAGGUAUGUACCUUAAACUAUCCUUAGCAUUCCCUUGAGUGUAACAUUUGAGCCCAAAGUACAAUCCAGUAAUUGAAUUGGUUCAUGGCCAGUCACUUACUUGAUGGUAAAAUCAAAGUCUUCCCAUCCAAGUCCUAGAACAAGCUGGACCUUAAAUAGCUUAUGACUCCAG
rnacentral:lncRNA from 1 species